UGGGGAAUUUUGGACAAUGGGGGAAACCCUGAUCCAGCCAUCCCGCGUGUGCGAUGAAGGCCUUCGGGUUGUAAAGCACUUUUGGCAGGAAAGAAACGUCAUGGGUUAAUACCCCGUGAAACUGACGGUACCUGCAGAAUAACCACCGGCUAACUACGUGCCAGCAGCCGCGGUAAUACGUAGGGUGCAAGCGUUAAUCGGAAUUACUGGGCGUAAAGCGUGCGCAGGCGGUUCGGAAAGAAAGAUGUGAAAUCCCAGAGCUCAACUUUGGAACUGCAUUUUUAACUACCGGGCUAGAGUGUGUCAGAGGGAGGUGGAAUUCCGCGUGUAGCAGUGAAAUGCGUAGAUAUGCGGAGGAACACCGAUGGCGAAGGCAGCCUCCUGGGAUAACACUGACGCUCAUGCACGAAAGCGUGGGGAGCAAACAGG
rnacentral:rRNA from 1 species